AAGUCGUAACAAGGUCUCCGUUGGUGAACCAGCGGAGGGAUCAUUACUGAGUUAUCUAAACUCCCAACCCUUUGUGAACCUUACCGUCGUUGCCUCGGCGGGCUGUACUUACCCUGUAGCUACCCUGUAGCUACCCGGUAGGUGCGCUCCAAGCCCGCCGGUGGACCACUAAAUUCUAUUUUACUACUGUAUCUCUGAAUGCUUCAACUUAAUAAGUUAAAA
rnacentral:misc_RNA from 1 species